AGAGUUACUGAUGAAAUUUUACAUUUAGUGCCAAAUAAAGAAACUUUUAGACUCACCCUAAGAGCUGUCAAAUUAUGGGCAAAACGACGUGGUAUUUAUUCCAACAUGCUGGGAUUCCUUGGUGGUGUCUCCUGGGCAAUGCUAGUUGCAAGAACUUGCCAGUUAUAUCCAAAUGCAGCUGCUUCUACUUUAGUUCAUAAGUUCUUCUUAGUUUUCUCCAAGUGGGAAUGGCCAAAUCCAGUGCUGCUGAAGCAACCAGAAGAAAGCAAUUUGAAUUUGCCUGUCUGGGAUCCUCGGGUA